rnacentral:rRNA from 1 species
AUUGAACGCUGGCGGCAUGCUUUACACAUGCAAGUCGAACGGUAACAGGCCGCAAGGUGCUGACGAGUGGCGAACGGGUGAGUAAUGCAUCGGAACGUGCCCAGUCGUGGGGGAUAACUACUCGAAAGAGUAGCUAAUACCGCAUACGAUCUAUGGAUGAAAGCGGGGGACCGUAAGGCCUCGCGCGAUUGGAGCGGCCGAUGUCAGAUUAGGUAGUUGGUGGGGUAAAGGCUCACCAAGCCAACGAUCUGUAGCUGGUCUGAGAGGACAACCAGCCACACUGGGACUGAGACACGGCCCAGACUCCUACGGGAGGCAGCAGUGGGGAAUUUUGGACAAUGGGCGCAAGCCUGAUCCAGCAAUGCCGCGUGCAGGAAGAAGGCCUUCGGGUUGUAAACUGCGUUUGUACGGAACGAAACGGCUCUGGUUAAUACCCGGGGCUAAUGACGGUACCGUAAGAAUAAGCACCGGCUAACUACGUG